rnacentral:rRNA from 1 species
AAACGGGUGCUAAUACCGCAUAGGAAGUUUGUUCGCAUGAACAAACUUAGAAAGAUGGCUCUGCUAUCACUUAUCGAUGGCCUUGCGGUGCAUUAACUAGUUGGCGAGGUAACGGCUCACCAAGGUGAUGAUGCAUAGCCGACCUGAGAGGGUAAUCGGCCACAUUGGGACUGAGACACGGCCCAAACUCCUACGGGAGGGCAGCAGCU